GUGCUCACUUCAACAACAUAUAUUAAUUGGAACGAACAGAGAAGAUUAGCAUGGCCCCUGUGUAAGGAUGACAUGCAAAUUCAUGAAGCAUUCCAUAUUUUU
rfam:Otolemur garnettii contig046180, whole genome shotgun sequence.